GCAUGGUCGACGUUUGGAAAGAAUUUCGGUCAGGGAUGAGCUCGCGGCCUAUCAGCUUGUUGGUGAGGUAAUGGCUCACCAAGGCGUCGACGGGUAGCCGGCCUGAGAGGGUGACCGGCCACACUGGGACUGAGACACGGCCCAGACUCCUACGGGAGGCAGCAGUGGGGAAUAUUGCACAAUGGGCGAAAGCCUGAUGCAGCAACGCCGCGUGAGGGACGACGGCCUUCGGGUUGUAAACCUCUUUUAGCAGGGAAGAAGCGAAAGUGACGGUACCUGCAGAAAAAGCGCCGGCUAACUACGUGCCAGCAGCCGCGGUAAUACGUAGGGCGCAAGCGUUAUCCGGAAUUAUUGGGCGUAAAGAGCUCGUAGGCGGUUUGUCGCGUCUGCUGUGAAAACUGGAGGCUCAACCUCCAGCCUGCAGUGGGUACGGGCAGACUAGAGUGCGGUAGGGGAGAUUGGAAUUCCUGGUGUAGCGGUGGAAUGCGCAGAUAUCAGGAGGAACACCGAUGGCGAAGGCAGAUCUCUGGGCCGUAACUGACGCUGAGGAGCGAAAGGGUGGGGAGCAAACAGGCUUAGAUACCCUGGUAGUCCACCCCGUAAACGUUGGGAACUAGUUGUGGGGUCCAUUCCACGGAUUCCGUGACGCAGCU
rnacentral:rRNA from 1 species